GGUUUGUUGUAUUUUGUGAUAAAUUUGGCCUGCUCAGUGUAGUUAUAAAUAGCCGCAGUAACUUGACUGUGCAAAGGUAGCAUAAUCAUUAGUUCUUUAAUUGGGGGCUGGGAUGAAAGGUUUGACGGGGAUAAGCUUUUUUGAGCUAUUUUUUGAAUUUUAGUUUAUUGUGAAGACGCAGUAUUAAAUUUAAUUGACGAGAAGACCCCGUAAAGCUUAAGGGUGAGUCUGGUUUUUUAGGCUUGCGUGUUUUGUUGGGGCAACAUAGUUAAUAAGGUAAUGGUUAUGGUUUUUGUAUUUUUUUCUAGUCUUGUUUGUGAUCCGGGGUUUCUGAAAAUAAGAUAAGCUACUUUGGGGAUAACAGCGUAAUUUUGUUGGAGAGUUCUUAUUGAUAAUGAAGUUUGCGACCUCGAUGUUGAAUUAAGAUACCGUUUGGCUGUAGUCGGUCUUUGCGGGGGUCUGUUCGACCUUAAAAUUCUUACA
rnacentral:rRNA from 1 species